rfam:Cricetulus griseus cell line CHO-K1, whole genome shotgun sequence.
CUGGGCUAUGGAGACAUGUAUCCUCAGACGUGGUCUGGUAUGUUGGUGGGAGCAUUGUGUGCUCUGGCAGGAGUGCUGACCAUUGCCAUGCCGGUGCCUGUCAUCGUGAACAAU